GGGAGAACAGGGAGAAAGAAGGAAAAAUAAAAAAGAAGCAAGAAUGAAAGGAAGGGAAUAAAAAAGCAGGAAACAAUGAAGCAAUAAGAAAAUCUGAGUGAAAGGGAGGAAAUGAUAUAUAGGAAAAAGGGAGGAAGGAAAGAAGAGAGGAAGGAACCGAGGGAGGAAUGAAGAAAGAGAGCGAACUAAGUCACGUCCUGCCUUUGCUCUCUAUGCGGGCUCGCUGUGCCACGCGAAGGUUGUUGUUAAACUAGGCUUUAGGUGGUAAACCUCAUCACCCGCGGCAACAUUCUUCCACACAGUGAGAUUUAACGUUACCUGCGGUCGGCCCCGCGCCUGACACGCAGCGCUUCUUUAACCAGCACCAGACAAGCACUUAGCGGGGCAUCACAGGCACCGAGUCCGCCAAAGGGCACCUGAGGAGAGUCGAAAGACGCGCACAGAACCUACUGUACGGCACAUACCGAUCCAGGACCAUGGAGACCGCAGGCAACGGCUCGGACGUGAAUUACCGGAGCCAGCUCCCCGUGCUUUUUAACAACAGCAGCUUCUGUGGAAACUUCACCGACCACAACACCACGAGCAUCGCGGAGUCGCGAUGCGACGGGGAUCGGGGACUGCCCAACAGUCUGUUAGACGACACCAACCCGGUGAUCAUAGCCAUUGUUAUCACCGCUCUCUACUCAAUAGUGUGCGUGGUGGGGCUAGUUGGAAACGUGUUGGUCAUGUAUAUCAUCGUCAGAUACACUAAAAUGAAGACCGCCACCAACAUCUACAUCUUCAACCUCGCUCUGGCCGACGCCUUGGUCACCAGCACACUACCAUUCCAGAGCGUCAACUACUUGAUGGGGACCUGGCCGUUUGGAGACAUACUGUGCAAGAUGGUGAUGUCCAUUGACUACUACAACAUGUUCACCUCUAUCUUUACACUCACCACCAUGAGCAUUGAUCGCUACGUCGCUGUGUGCCACCCAGUCAAAGCGCUGGACUUCCGGACACCGCGUAACGCCAAGAUUGUCAACGUCUGCAACUGGAUUCUCUCCUCGGCCAUCGGGCUGCCUGUAAUGUUCAUGGCCUCCACCGACCUCACUUCCUCCAGUAUUGUUGACUGCAAGCUGAUAUUCCCCCACCCCUCCUGGUACUGGGACACCCUGCUGAAGAUCUGCGUGUUCAUCUUUGCCUUCAUUAUGCCAGUCCUCAUCAUCACCGUCUGCUAUGGCCUCAUGAUCCUCCGGCUGAAGAGUGUGCGCAUGCUGUCGGGCUCCCAGGAGAAGGACAGAAACCUGCGUCGGAUCACCCGCAUGGUCCUGGUGGUGGUUGCCGUCUUCAUCGUGUGCUGGACACCCAUCCACAUCUUUGUCAUCAUCACAGCUCUGAUCAAUAUCCCCACCUCCACGCUGCAGACUAUCACCUGGCACUUCUGCAUUGCCCUGGGCUACACCAACAGCAGUCUGAACCCGGUUCUUUAUGGCUACCUUGAUGAGAACUUCAAGCGUUGUUUCCGGGAGUUUUGCACCCCGAGUCCCUCAGUGUUAGAGAUGCAGAACUCGUCCCGGACCGGAGUCACAAGCCGCAAGCUCCCACAGCGUGAACGCAACACAGGAAACACAGGAGAAAGGUCCAAUCAACAGGUAUGACUAGCCUUGGAGGGGUCGUCAGACUCUCGCUCUUGUGGGGGCGUUGCCAACGACGAUCUCAACUCAGAGGUCACGCAGGUCACCACAGGUGUCUGACCACAUAAACACAAAGUGACACGUACAUCAGUCAAUCUAGGACACGAGGUCUUUGGCUCCCUCACCACAUGAAGGCAUCACUGGACAGCAGGUGACAGAAAUGUCAUUUACAGCACCAAAUGUGCUUUUUGUUCAGCUUCUGUAUGGAUUUCGAUCUAUUAACAAUGGUUUUCAUUGAUUGAUCUGCACAGCACCAUGCUGGCUUUGAUCACUUUAGGAAGACUCCCCUCUCAACCCACCUGACCCUUUGUUGUAAUUUCCUGCCCCCUCUGUCUUCAUUAU